rnacentral:misc_RNA from 1 species
GAUGAAGAACGCAGCGAAAUGCGAUAAGUAAUGCGAAUUGCAGAAUCCGUGAAUCAUCGAAUCUUUGAACGCACAUUGCGCCCGCCAGUAUUCUGGCGGGCAUGCCUGUUCGAGCGUCAUUUCAACCAUCAAGCCCCCGGCUUGUGUUGGGGACCUGCGGCUGCCGCAGGCCCUGAAAUGCAGUGGCGGGCUCGCUGUCACUCCGAGCGUAGUAGUUACAUCUCGCUCUGGGCGUGCUGCGGGUUCCGGCCGUUAAAAGCCUUAUUUACCCAAGGUUGACCUCGGAUCAGGUAGGAAGACCCGCUGAACUUAAGCAUAUCAAUAAGCGGAGGA